UACAUGGGGGUGCAAACGUUUGCUCGGGAAUUUAUUUGGGGCGUAAAGCGCACGCAGGGCGGACGCGCGCGUGGGGGUGUGAAAUCUGGCCGCUUUAACGGCCAGGCGCCCAUCCCAUACGGCGCGUCUGGAGUGAUGCAGAGGUCGAUGGAAUUUGCCGGUGUAGUGGUGAAAUGCGUUAGAGAUCGGGCAGGAACACCCAGGGGGGAAACCAGUUCGACUGGGCAUCUACUGACGCUGAGGUGCGAGAGCGUGGGGGAGCGAACCGGG
rnacentral:rRNA from 1 species